rnacentral:rRNA from 1 species
UAGAGUUUGAUCAUGGCUCAGGGUGAACGCUGGCGGCGUGCCUAACACAUGCAAGUCGAGCGGUGCAGCUGGAGGCUUUUGCUGAAGGCUGCAUAGCGGCGGACGGGUGCGUAACGCGUAGGAACGUGCCCCCUGGAGGCGGAUAGCCGCGGGAAACUGCGGGUAAACCGCCAUAGACUCGGGAGAGUAAAGGCCGAAAGGCGCCAGGGGAGCGGCCUGCGUCCCAUCAGGUAGUUGGUAGGGUAACGGCCUACCAAGCCGACGACGGGUAGCCGGUCUGAGAGGAUGGCCGGCCACAAGGGCACUGAGACACGGGCCCUACUCCUACGGGAGGCAGCAGUGGGGGAUAUUGGACAAUGGGCGAAAGCCUGAUCCAGCGACGCCGCGUGGAGGAUGAAGCCCUUCGGGGUGUAAACUCCUUUUGUCGGGGAAAAAGUUCUGAUGGUACCCGACGAAUAAGCCCCGGCUAACUACGUGCCAGCCGCCGCGGUAAUACA